GAGACACCCUUCUGGGGCAAGACUUGCUUCAGUGGGGCUUUGGUGCUCACUGAGUCUGCCCACUGUGUGUGUCCCU
rnacentral:pre_miRNA from 1 species